AGCAGCAGCCACGGGAAUACGUAGGUGGCAAGCGUUGUCCGGAAUUAUUGGGCGUAAAGGGCUCGCAGGCGGUUUCUUAAGUCUGAUGUGGAAGCCCCCGGCUCAACCGGGGAGGGUCAUUGGAAACUGGGAAACUUGAGUGCAGAAGAGGAGAGUGGAAUUCCACGUGUAGCGGUGAAAUGCGUAGAGAUGUGGAGGAACACCAGUGGCGAAGGCGACUCUCUGGUCUGUAACUGACGCUGAGGAGCGAAAGCGUGGGGAGCGAACAGGAUUAGAUACCCCAGUAGUCCCUGUCUCUUAUAC
rnacentral:rRNA from 1 species